ACGGGAGGCAGCAGUAGGGAAUAUUGGUCAAUGGGGGAAACCCUGAACCAGCGACGCCGCGUGAGUGAAGAAGUAUUUCGGUAUGUAAAGCUCUAUCAGCAGGGACGAUAAUGACGGUACCUGACUAAGAAGCCCCGGCUAACUACGUGCCAGCAGCCGCGGUAAUACGUAGGGGGCAAGCGUUAUCCGGAUUUACUGGGUGUAAAGGGAGCGUAGACGGCAAAGCAAGUCUGAAGUGAAAUCCCGGGGCUCAACCCCGGAACUGCUUUGGAAACUGUUUAGCUAGAGUGCAGGAGAGGUAAGCGGAAUUCCUAGUGUAGCGGUGAAAUGCGUAGAUAUUAGGAGGAACACCAGUGGCGAAGGCGGCUUACUGGACUGUAACUGACGUUGAGGCUCGAAAGCGUGGGGAGCAAACAGGAUUAGAUACCCUGGUA
rnacentral:rRNA from 1 species